GGACGACGCUGGCGGCGUGCCUAUACAUGCAUGUCGAGCGCAGGAAAUCGACGGAACCCUUCGGGGGGAAGUCAGCGGAAUGAGCGGCGGACGGGUGAGUAACACGUAAAGAACCUGCCCUCAGGUCUGGGAUAACCACGAGAAAUCGGGGCUAAUACCGGAUGGGUCAUCGGACCGCAUGGUCCGAGGAUGAAAGGCGCUCCGGCGUCGCCUGGGGAUGGCUUUGCGGUGCAUUAGCUAGUUGGUGGGGUAAUGGCCCACCAAGGCGACGAUGCAUAGCCGACCUGAGAGGGUGAUCGGCCACACUGGGACUGAGACACGGCCCAGACUCCUACGGGAGGCAGCAGUAGGGAAUCUUCCACAAUGGACGAGAGUCUGAUGGAGCAACGCCGCGUGAACGAUGAAGGCCUUCGGGUCGUAAAGUUCUGUUGUAAGGGAAGAACAAGUGCCGCAGGCAAUGGCGGCACCUUGACGGUACCUUGCGAGAAAGCCACGGCUAACUACGUGCCAGCAGCCGCGGUAAUACGUAGGGUGGCAAGCGUUGUCCGGAAUUAUUGGGCGUAAAGCGCGCGCAGGCGGCCUCUUAAGUCUGAUGUGAAAGCCCCCGGCUCACCGGGGAGGGCCAUUGGAACUGGGAGGCUUGAGUAUAGGAGAGAAGAGUGGAAUUCCCGUGUAGCGGUGAAAUGCGUAGAGAUGUGGAAGAACACAGUGGCGAAGGCGACUCUUUGGCCUAUACUGACGCUGAGGCGCGAAAGCGUGGGGAGCAACAAGGAUAGAUACUCUGGUAGUCACGCGUAAACGAUGAGUGCUAGGUGUGGGAGGUUUUCCGCCCUCAUGCUGAAGCUACCCUUUAGCACUCCCGCGGGGGAGGAGGGGCGCAGGCUGAACUCAAGGAAUGGGCGGGAAGGCCACACGGGGGACGGGGGUUAUUGGAGCACGCAAAAACUUACCCCUCUGACUCCCCUGACGGCCGAAAAUGACGUCCUUC
rnacentral:rRNA from 1 species